CUUUCCAUUCUCCAUUGGCUCAGGUAGUCCUGGCCUAUUUUUAUCAAAUUUGUUUUGCUUUUCUUUAGAACUCUUCAUUUCUUUAGGAUACUUCUUACUAGGAUUCUGGUUCUUGCUUGAAAUAAAAAAAGAAUCUCUGUUCUUUUCCAUUUUUGAUUUUUCCUCAGACCUAUAAAGAAAAAGCGUGUUUCAACAUAUAACAAGAAGGAAAACCAUGAAAAAUCCACCAUGCAAAAUAAAAAGAUAAACCUCUAAACACGCUUUUUCUUUACCAUUUAAAAACAUUAAUUAUAAAUAGAAGGUGUAGAUGAAAAAUGUAUAACUUAUUAACAGCAGAAGAAUUUGUUCAAAGAAUUUGCUCUAGAAAAUAUCAUUAUGAUUAUAACGGUUGUAAGUUUAUCAACUUCCAUUUAAUAUUUAACACUUUAACCUUUAACCUUUAAAUUAAAUAAGUUUUCGUUUAAACUCCACCUAGAAGAACCCUUACAUCAGAGAUGGAAAAAUUUCUCAAAAUUCUAUCUCAACAAAACUUAGAUAUAAUCUGCAAGAGCCUAUAGAUUUGGUUCAACUUAACCAUCAAAAUCAAUUAAAUAAAUUUAUUAGAUUUAAGUAUUAUAAAUUUGGUAAUUGCUUAUUAUGGAAAAUUUUAUGCUACAAAUCAAUUUAAUGAUUCUCAAAGAAUUUUACAAUCUACUCAUGUCACACGUUUACGAAUCCGAUAAGUGACGUAAAAGUCACAAGGCAAAUAGUGGUGAUUCAUUUUUGUUGGAACUUUUGAGUUUAGAAGGAGAAUAUUGAUUCAGUAAAUACUACAGCAACGGACAAUCGUCACAAAAUAUAACGCCAGGUGGCGGCUACAGGGAUUACGAAUCUACUUGAAUUAAUUGUUUGGAAACCAGUUUAACUAGAAGAUAUAAUUAAUUAAUUAAAAGAAGCUUACCAAAUUAAGCCACCCACUGGGUAGGCUUUGAAGUAUCGGCGGAAUCUUGAUAGUUUAGUUG